rfam:Pteropus alecto contig65006, whole genome shotgun sequence.
GGCUCCAUAGUGUAGUAGUUAGCACAUCUGCUUUACACACAGAGGGUCUUGGGUUUGCACCCCAGGUGGAGCCA